rnacentral:rRNA from 1 species
UACGUAGGGCGCAAGCGUUAUCCGGAAUUAUUGGGCGUAAAGAGCUCGUAGGCGGUUUGUCGCGUCUGCCGUGAAAGUCCGGGGCUCAACUCCGGAUCUGCGGUGGGUACGGGCAGACUAGAGUGUGGUAGGGGAGACUGGAAUUCCUGGUGUAGCGGUGAAAUGCGCAGAUAUCAGGAGGAACACCGAUGGCGAAGGCAGGUCUCUGGGCCACUACUGACGCUGAGAAGCGAAAGCAUGGGGAGCGAAUGGG